AACCUAGCACACCUGCGGUGUGUACCUGCGGAAGGAUCAUUACAGAGUUGCAAGACUCCCUAAACCAUUGUGAACCUACCUUCUACCGUUGCUUCGGCGGGCGGGCCCAGCGCCCCCCCCGGCCCCCCGCGGGCGCCCGCCGGAGGAUACCCAAACUCUUGACAUUAGUGGCCUCUCUGAGUAUUCUUUACUGAAUAAGUCAAAACUUUCAGCAACGGAUCUCAGAUCGGAAGAGCACAC
rnacentral:misc_RNA from 1 species